UGGCGUAGUGCGCAACGCCUCGGCUUGCUAAGCCGAAGGUCCUGGGUUCGAUUCCCGG
rfam:Habropoda laboriosa contig5443, whole genome shotgun sequence.